CCUUCGAUAGCUCAGUUGGUAGAGCGGAGGACUGUAGGCUCAUUAAGCAAGGUAUCCUUAGGUCGCUGGUUCGAAUCCGGCUCGGAGGACGGUAGUUUUGACCUACCAAGCUAAUAAUUCCAGACAAUACGGUCUUUACAAAAAAUAAGGAUCCAGGCAAAAAAAAUGUAUUAGAUAGCUCUUUAUGCUCAAACAUGCACAAGUAAAC
rnacentral:tRNA from 10 species